rnacentral:rRNA from 1 species
UUUUAUCCUUGGAAAAGAAGAUCAAGACGGCUUCUAAGAAGCUUUCUUGAUGGAGGGGAGCGGCAGACGGGUGAGUAACGCGUGGGAAUCUACCCAUCUCUACGGAAUAACUCAGGGAAACUUGUGCUAAUACCGUAUACGCCCUUCGGGGGAAAGAUUUAUCGGAGAUGGAUGAGCCCGCGUUGGAUUAGCUAGUUGGUGGGGUAAAUGACUACCAAGGCGACGAUCCAUAGCUGGUCUGAGAGGAUGAUCAGCCACAUUGGGACUGGGACACGGCCCAGACUCCUACGGGAGGCAGCAGUGGGGAAUCUUGCGCAAUGGGCGAAAGCCUGACGCAGCCAUGCCGCGUGAAUGAUGAAGGUCUUAGGAUUGUAAAAUUCUUUUACCAGGGACGAUAAUGACGGUACCUGGAGAAAAAGCCCCGGCUAACUUCGUGCCAGCCGCCGCAGUAAGAC